rnacentral:rRNA from 1 species
UACGGAGGGUGCGAGCGUUGUCCGGAAUCACUGGGCGUAAAGGGCGCGUAGGCGGCGCGGAUAGUCGGCGGUGAAAGCCCGGAGCUCAACUCCGGGUCGGCCGUCGAUACUUCCGGGCUUGAGCACUGUAGAGGCAGAUGGAAUUCCGGGUGUAGCGGUGGAAUGCGUAGAGAUCCGGAGGAACACCGGUGGCGAAGGCGGCUUUCUGGACCGACACUGACGCUGAGGCGCGAAAGCUAGGGGAGCAAACGGG